UACACAUCUCUAACUCUCUCCCUCUCUUUCCAUGUUCAUUCGGCAACCCCCAUUCCUCACUCGCCCUCGCCCUCGCCCUCGCCCUCGCCCUCGCCGUCUCGACUCCCUAUUUAUCUCUCGGCGAUGCAAAAGCAACGACACGGUGGCGCAACCAAGCAACGCUCUCUCUGCCUACUAAUAAAGUAUUUCAUUCUUUCCAGGAUGAUGCGAAGAAACAUGACAGAGGAGCCAAGAAUCGGUACACUGACACGGUGGUUCGCCGAUGUACGAGAAUGACGAGGCUCGGUGAGUUAUCUCACUCUCUCUUGCUUUCUCUAACACUUCGUCUCUCACUGUUUCUGUAGCUGCGGCGAGGAGGUGGGAGUCAUAUGGCUGGCAACAAACGGGUUGAGAUGUGAGGCUGGAGGCAGUGUCGAACCAUGGGGCUACGGGGAGAGUUGGCGACGAUGAUGGAGCACAUACCAAUGGGGCUUUCUACGAUUUUUGCUUGGGUGGGGAUGACAUUUCUGAUGACAAGCAAGGAUCACGAGGAAAAGUUUUAGAUGGAAAUGAUGGUACUGCACCAAAGAGUUGCCCGGUGUUCAGAUCCCAAUCAAGUGACCAAAAAGCAGAUACCUAGUUGUAAUUUUUUUAUGGUCAAGAUUAUUAUGUUUAUAGACAAUGCCUUAUGAUUUUUGAGUUAAUUGAGUUAAUUAGGAGUGUUAUAUUUGUUCCAAAAUUUGUAACUAUCUCAUUGUAUAAGUUUUAUUAUUUUAAUCUAUAAGUUUUUUUAUUUGUAUAUAAA